rnacentral:ncRNA from 1 species
AGGAGCCAUGUGAGAUGAAAGUCUCAUGCACGGUUUUGAAUGAGAGAAAGAAGUGAGGUCCUCUUUUCGACUCUGAC